rnacentral:rRNA from 1 species
UACGAAGGGGGCUAGCGUUGUUCGGAAUUACUGGGCGUAAAGCGCACGUAGGCGGAUCGAUCAGUCAGGGGUAAAAUCCCAGGGCUCAACCCUGGAACUGCCUUUGAUACUGUCGAUCUGGAGUAUGGAAGAGGUGAGUGGAAUUCCGAGUGUAGAGGUGAAAUUCGUAGAUAUUCGGAGGAACACCAGUGGCGAAGGCGGCUCACUGGUCCAUUACUGACGCUGAGGUGCGAAAGCGUGGGGAGCAAACAGG